UUACGGCCAUAUCACGUUGAUACACCAGUUCUCGUAGGAUCACUGAAGUUAAGCAAAGUCGAACCUGGUCAUUAGCUAGCUGGGUGACCGCUUACGAAUAGCAAGUGCUGUAA